UACGUAGGGUGCGAGCGUUGUCCGGAAUUAUUGGGCGUAAAGCGCGCGCAGGCGGUCCUUUAAGUCUGAUGUGAAAGCCCACGGCUCAACCGUGGAGGGUCACUGGAAACUGGGGGACUUGAGUGCAGAAGAGGAAAGCGGAAUUCCACGUGUAGCGGUGAAAUGCGUAGAGAUGUGGAGGAACACCAGUGGCGAAGGCGGCUUUCUGGUCUGUAACUGACGCUGAGGCGCGAAAGCGUGGGGAGCAAACAGG
rnacentral:rRNA from 1 species